rnacentral:rRNA from 1 species
GAUGAACGCUGGCGGCGUGCCUAAUACAUGCAAGUCGAGCGAAUGGAUUAAGAGCUUGCUCUUAUGAAGUUAGCGGCGGACGGGUGAGUAACACGUGGGUAACCUGCCCAUAAGACUGGGAUAACUCCGGGAAACCGGGGCUAAUACCGGAUAACAUUUUGAACCGCAUGGUUCGAAAUUGAAAGGCGGCUUCGGCUGUCACUUAUGGAUGGACCCGCGUCGAAUUAGCUAGUUGGUGAGGUAACGGCUCACCAAGGCAACGAUGCGUAGCCGACCUGAGAGGGUGAGCGGCCACACUGGGACUGAGACACGGCCCAGACUCCUACGGGAGGCAGCAGUAGGGAAUCUUCCGCAAUGGACGAAAGUCUGACGGAGCAACGCCGCGUGAGUGAUGAAGGCUUUCGGGUCGUAAAACUCUGUUGUUAGGGAAGAUCAAGUGCUAGUUGAAUAAGCUGGCACCUUGACGGUACCUAACCAGAAAGCCACGGCUAACUACGUGCCAGCCGCCGCCGUAA